GGAUGAGAUGGGAGCAGAAUGGUCAAUUAGAGGGUGUUUCAAUAGCAGAAGUGCUUGAAAAGCAUCUUUACUUCUUCUCGUUAUAAACAAAUUAUUUGGUAAUGAGCUUAAUAUAGUCCGGAGAGUGUUGUUAUCAUUCAUUUGUACCAAAUAUAGUAUGUAAUAGUCGAGUAAUAGUCGAGUCUACUGCUGACUCGUUUCUCUGAGUGCAGCCAAAUUAGCGGCGACAUGAAAUCGUUUUUAAGCGCACAUAUUUAAAUACAUUUUCUAAAUUAAACCUCGAAAAAGGAGAAGAACAACACGAUACCCAAAGAAAAAAAUAAAACAGAAGACAAACGCAACAAAAUCCGACGACCUUGUGAUUACUUUGCCGCUGCUUCGACAUUAUAUGGACGUAUACUCAUCGCACAUUUGGCAACCCAUACAGAUGUAUCUAUACAUUUCGGUUACCUUACUUUGUCUUUCGACGUUUUUUGCAUAUUAAUUAAGCGCCAAAAGCAGCAGACAAUUUUGAAUAUUAUCAGUUAAUCUGGCCAGGCAUUUUCGAGUGUGUUUGUGUGUUUGUUUGUUGCUUGUUCUCUAUCUAUCUUUAAGUUGUACAACGUUUUGUGGAGCCGCGCAAUUGCAAACAGGUUUGGUGCAACUACAAAAUAAUAAUAACACCAAACAACUGAGAAAUGAUUUUUCUUAUAUGUACAUAUAUACGUACAUAUAUGUAUGUGGGUACUUUUUCUCCUUCUUUUUAACAAAAGUUCAACGCGGUGUGUGAGAUUUUUAUCAUUUGUACUCAAGUGGCGUCCGUCGGCUGAAGAUACACUUCGCCUCUCCGUUUCACACUGCAUAAUUUGAGGGAACACGAAGAAGUUGACAAAAGAUUUUUGUGCAGCGACAAGAGAUGGCCCCCCUUUCGAACCCCUCCCCCACCAUUCCGAACAAGUUGAGGUUGAUUUUUUAUCAGCCUGGAAAAAUCUUUGACACUAAAUGAGCAAUUGACUUGCCGUUGAGAGAGGAGUUUUGAAGUGCAAAAGCGGUGGGUGGGGUUGGCUUGUUUGCGGAAAAUGUCAAGGAUCUGCAGCUGUUGGUAGGGAAGGAGAAGUAUCUUUGUAUCUAUACUUUGAACUAGUGCAACGCGUCAUAAGAGCAGCUGGCUUUGCAGGUGGCUUUGAAUAAGAAGGCAUAAGAAUCGAGUAAGGAGGACAAAAUAAGCUUCUGCAAACGCUUCUGACGAUUGUCAACCUUUGAGGUUGUGGCAAUCCUUGAGAUACAAACCAGAGAUUAGUUUAGUGAGGCGGUCGUGCUGCCUCCGUUUUGCUCUUGCCUGCUGUGUGCACAUGCACGAGAUACAAACUCAUAGAUACUACUAUGCCCACUACAGCAUAAGAUACCCAGCAACUUGUCCGGGUUUAGUCGUUUUAGUUCGUUUUGGCCUGGCUUUUUCGGUUUUUCGCGCUGGGGUUCAGUUCAUGGCUGUUAAACUAUAAAGUUGUUAUGCUAAUUUCAGUGUUGGUGGCAACCGAAUGCUGCUCUUUUUUUCUUUUGCUUGAUUUUUUUCCUUUUUAACCGUUUCGAUUUCUUGGCGUUCGUUUCUUGGCUCGUUUAGAAAUGAGGAAAUUGUGGAGCAACAAAGAGAUCUUGAAAAUUACCACAAUUUGUACUUGUACAUAAGUAAUGUGGGAAUUUGAGCCGCCGCCGCCAAGAAGAGGAGCUCAAAAUAACACAAAUACAAUGAGGAGUAAAAAUCGAACAGGCAAAUACACUUAGGUCCAUAGUUUUCUUUUUUUUUGGUCUUUUUUUGUGUUGGGCUACAACUCCCCGAUCCAUUUGGGCCAACUUUGAUUGAUGAUCUCUGAUGGUCGGGUUUCUGUCUCCCUAUCUCAAUGGCUGUCCCUGUAUUUUUCACCAUUUUUCUCUGUUGUCUAGUGACCGAGCCGUUGACCUUGUUGAAUGGAAAAGCUCUUGGCCAGCCGGAUCAAUAUAAGCCAACCAACCACCGCCACAGUCGAGGCCCAUGGUCUGAUUUUGACAAGUUCAGCGUCGAAAAUCCUUCAAAAAUUUAUGACGCCCCCCAUGGCAGCCACAAAAACAACAACAACAAGAACUACAACAACAGAAGUGGGCACAAAUUUGGGUGGUGGUGCUCCAAACUGUCAGUGACAGGCGCUGAAGGAGCUACGAUUUUGUUUUUAUUUCUUGUUGUAUUUCUAUAUAUAUUUGUGGAGCAGCCUUUUUUUUGGGGAGUUUUCCUGCGUUUUCCGACUCUUGUCCCACUUGCUGCCUGUCUGUCUGUUUGUUUGUUUGUUGGUUUGUUGGGCCGUGUGUGCCGGUUCUUGGUAUGUUUUUGUCGUGUUUGGGCCACAUUAAGUCAUUGCUGAAAGCCAGCCUACGACCAACUGAACAGCAACAACUCAAUUGGACUCUUUAGGCAGAGCUUUAAUAUGCAGAUUUUAGCUUUCAGCCGGCAAUCCUAACUUAAACUAUUGCUCUACCUAACAGGCAAAAACUUUAGUUUAGUUUAGUUGAAGAAUGUCAGGAAAUAUUGGAUUGGGAAAAUCUGCAAAUGGAAUUCUAUUUCUGGAGAAAUAAUAAACUCUCGCUCCAAAUAUCUGCGAAUCAAAUUAGAAAUCAAGGCUUGAACCGUAAAGCUUAAAGCCGAAAGCCCAAAUUGGAGUUACCAAAGCCUGCGUGAACUUGAAACUGUUGCAAACGUUGCACAAACAAAAACGCAGAGAGGAACCGGAAAUAGCCGCGCAGCAAGGACAUUUUGCGUGUGUGUGUGUCUAUGGGGGGAUAUGCUAAAAACGGGCUUAAAUGGGAGGUUGGGCUUUAUCUAGCGGCGCCUAAAACUGACCAAAAACCAGACGCCAGUGGCAGAAGAGUUAUGACUGCAAAAAUGCGGCCAGACCGAAAAUGCGAGACAGAGAUGGCCAAAUAGGUGGGCAUGUGUGUGUGUGUGGUGCGCUGGUGUUUUGGCCAAAAUGGUGACAAUGGCCGCCAUUAUACAUAGUCAUCUAGCCAUAUCGACCACCCACUUUCCCCGCAUAAGGCCACCAAUAUGUUUGUUGCACAACCGACUUCGUUUAUCGAUUUCUUGCGUACCCCCGACACUUUUGCUUUUCGCCCUUUCUAUCUAUUGGAUUUUUUCGUGGAUUUCGUAUUUUCAUAGCCCAAAUAAAAAAGCCGAAAAACCUUCUUAAUUGCGCUGGCGCAGUCGAAGGCCUAAUCAAAAUUAAUUGUUUAUCAUGUUGUAUUUGAAUUUCUUUCCAUUUCUUCCCGCACACAUCUAUCUCUCUCUCUAUAUAGAAUUCUUCCCCUUUUUCUGGGACGACUUCAACUUUAGCUUUGCUUAAUUAGCAGACGAGCCGCUGGUUGUAGGUGUGUCCCGCUGCCACGCCCCCUGCGCCCAACGCCCGUCGCCCGACGGACGAAGUCACGCCCAGCCUUUUUUCGGGCGGCCUCAAAAGUUUUAUUUGGUGUUAGACAAUUAAUUUUUGUUGCGUGCCUGGGUGUUAUUUUAAUUUACAGUUGCAGCACUGCCGAGCAGCAAAAAAAAAUCGAAAACACGCUUCAUCCUAGGCGAUAUUAUUAACUUUUAUUGCUUAUAAUAACAAUAUUAUCGAGCAGGCGAACAUCAAACGUUGACAAGCAUCGAAAACGUGUGCUAAUUUUUUGUUCGCCUUCCAUUUAAUUUAUGUCGAAAAACAAAUACUUAAUACACGCAAAAAAAUAAUAGCACUGAAAUAUAUGCAUAAAAUUAAAGCAGAAAAAUUAGAUGCUCGGUAGCCGAAUUGAAAGCGAGCAGCGGCGGAAAAAAAAUAAAUGAAUACUUUGGCGUUUUAACAUUUAUCAAAAAUCAACAACAAAUGACGUCAGUCUGUGGCAUUUAUUAAAUUAAAAUGAGCCCCAAACUCGCAGACACAAAAAACUGGCAGAUGAUUAACAAAAAGCCAACAAAGCGCGGCCAAUAGCAACAAAAAGUUUGUCCAAAAAGGUAAAUUUAAAUUUCGUGUGUUCGGAAAACACAAGCAAAACACAUACAAAUAUCGAAUCAGAAAUAAAUCGAAAGAAAAGAAAUUUUGAAAAUAUUUUUAGCUGCUUUCUGGGAAUUUAAUGCUAAAAGCGCAUCGAAAGCGAAGACAAUUUAAUGGCCGAAAUUAAAGGAAAAUGUUUGAAAUUUAAAUUGACGGAAAAUGGCGGAAAAGGCGGCAAGGCAAGCAAAUUAAAAAUAUUGCAUUUAAAUGGAUUUAAACGAAUACGUUUCGGGUUAAUUGAAGAUAUUAUAUUUAUACAAGUUGAACAAAAUACACACUCAGUAAUCGUUUUAUUGGCCUAAAUGACUAUCUGAUUCCCGCUUCUCGGCCAUUUAAUUAAAUUGCUGGGACACAAGGACUUGGCCAACUUUGCUAACAAAAUUUCGGGCGCUAAGAAACAAAAGUCUUUGGAGUUUGGCAUUUUUGUCGGGGCCAAAAGUUACUCAAAAAUACGAAAAUAAAUUGCGUGCUGAUGGCUCAUUUAAUUUAAUGAGCGGCGUGCAACUUGUCUAAAUGAUUUUUCCUCUACUUUACAACACAUUUUUUCUUCACAUUUUCGUCUGUACACUUUUUCCGUUUCAGACCCUCAGUCAUUUUUUGUUUCUUGCCUUUAUAUAGUUGGAGAGAUGGAUAUCCCCGAGAAAAGAGUUCACGACGAACAAAAAAAGUAAUUCCAUUUUAUUCGAUGAAUAUUAGCAAAACACUUUGACUUAAUGUUUGGGGAAAUUACGGCAAGCGAAAACAGGCAGCGAUAUUUAAAAAACUUUUAAGCGUAAAUGCAAGAAGAAAUGAAACUAAUGAAAACACUUUCAACGGCAGCCAGCGACCUCGUCAAACUUGGCAACUAUGUGUGCUGGCUAUAGCAACAAAAAGCAAAAAAACUAAAGAGGCAACAACUAUAUAGCACCAGCAGGCACCGACCCAAGAAUCAGGCACGCAAUUUGAUCAUUAAACAUGAAGCUCUUUAGCACACGAAAAACAACAUCGGUGGAAAGUGGGAGAAGUGGAGGCCCCAUAUAGAGUGCCAUGACCCCCCCUGGGCCCCCUUCGCCUUCGCACCCCUUGCAGAAAUAUGCAUAUGUAAUUUGUUUAUAAAUAUUCCUCUCAGCCUGACGCUUCCUACUCGCUCAAUUUCGCUGGCAUGUGAAGCGUCUGCCGGGCGGAUUCUCAACCGAAAGCCAAGAUGUAUCUGAAAUCUCCAGAUAAACGGGGGAAUGGUGGAGAGGUGGAAGGGUGGAAGGGGAGCUCUCCUCUGCUGGAGCCCAUGAGUCAUGCGGGGAAGCUGGGAAGACUGGAGAAUUGCCCACUUAAUUAGAAAGGAAUUCGCGACGAAGGUUGAUCGCUGCCAAAGAUUAACCUUCUGCAAAUAUGAUAAGCAGCAGUGGGGAAAAAAUGUUACUUAUACCAGGAUGACGAAUAUUAUUUUCCAGCAGAUAAGUAAUAAAUAGGAAAUGCCAAUUUAUUUGCUAUUAAUAGAAUGGCUUCGGAAGUUGCUGAGAAAUCUACAUUGCGCCCAUUUCAGCGAAGUAUAUUUACAAUAAAUUAUAACUAUUUUGCGUUGCCAGCACAUUUUGGAACUUAAAAUUUUAGUGAAUAAAUUGAAAAGUAUUUUUUCGAGGCAAAAAUUUCUUGUAGUUUCCAGCUAAGUCGAAUUCCGAAUGUUUCCAUCAACUUUGGCAAAUGCUGCUGGCCACCAAAGUAAACCACAAAAUCGACUGUGGCAUUUUCCGCUGCUCCGCUCGCCUUGAUCUUUUCUUUUUCUAUUUUGAUUUUGAUUUUGUUUUUGAUUUUUCAUUUUAUUUUCUAAAAGUCUAAAGCGAACGAGAAAUACUACAGAAAAAAAAUAGGCGAACAAACGCAGUGGGAGAGUCGAGCACACGAUAGACGAAUUAUAUUUUAUGCCACAAAUUACGCUGCGGUUAACCUUUAAAUUAAAAUAACACCAAAACAAUUUUUGUGCUGCAUUUCGCAGGCGUUUGAAAUGGCACACGAACUGAAAAAUGGUGGGAAAAGUGGGGGGAGGCGCUGGGGGGAAUUGUGCAGCAGCUGCAAUGCACAUUUUUAUACAAAUACAAAUUGCAAUUGCACAUUUUUUUGUGCACAUUUUACACGGCCUCUCUUUUUUGCUCCUUUGCUGGCAUUGCUGUCCGUUUCGAUGGCAUAAAAUAAUCAAAUUAAAUAUAUAUAAAAAUGCAUGUGCAGUUGGGGGUUUGGGGUUAAGGGUUGGGAGAAGAGCCCGCGAAAAUUGCUUCCCGCCAUUUUUCGCAAAUUAUAGCAGCGCAAAGUCAUGGAAAAUGGUACAAAUAAAAUUGUAAAUAAUAAAACCGCGAAGCGGCAGAAACUGAAUGGAUCGCUUUUGGGCCGCUGGCAAUGUGCAAAAUGUGCAAUAAAAUUAUAUGCAUCAAAUGCACACAAGCAGCCAAACAGACAGAAUACCCGCAUAUAUAUACAUACAUAUACAUAUGUAUGUAUAUAUAUCUUUCGCCCCGAGUCGAAAAAUUCAUUUGAUGGAAUUGAAAUGG